rnacentral:sRNA from 1 species
GUUAAAGUUUAUGGCAGUAUCUUCGAAAUUUAAUUUUAAGAAUUAUUUUGGCCAAUUCGCAUUUCAGGCAGAAAUCUGGAAAAUUUGUUCAUGACUUCGAGCCGGUUCAAAGCCUUUUUCGGUGAUGUUCAAACAAACCCAUAAAUUAACCACAAUGAUGUUCGGCAUCUUUGUAUCGACAAUUAUGAGAGAACAACAAUCGGAUUUAUGAUAAAAGGAAACACCUAAGAAAUGGAUUACCCAAAUCUUUAGAUAAACAUCUAUGAUGGUGUUAGAAAGGAAGAUUUAUGGACACUAACUUUCACCUUUUUAAUGCGUAAUCAUCGAGCACAUUAUGGAACAAAUAUAGAAUUCCACUGGUGGUCCUGACGUAACAAA